rnacentral:rRNA from 1 species
UAUCUCUGUAGAGUCUGCAUAUCAAUAAGCGGAGGAAAAGAAACUAACAAGGAUUCCCUUAGUAACGGCGAGUGAAGCGGGAAGAGCUCAAAUUUGAAAUCUUCAAGGUUUUACCUUGACGAAUUGUAGUUUAAAGAAGUGUUUUCUGUUGGAGUUUUGGUAAAAGUUCUUUGGAAUAGGACAUCAUAGAGGGUGAGAAUCCCGUAUUUGACCAUUAUUUUCAGCUGUGUGAUACACUUUCAAAGAGUCGGAUUGUUUGGGAAUGCAGUCCAAAAUGGGUGGUAAAUUUCAUCUAAAGCUAAAUAUUGGCGAGAGACCGAUAGCGAACAAGUACCGUGAGGGAAAGAUGAAAAGAACUUUGAAAAGAGAGUUAAACAGUACGUGAAAUUGUCAAAAGGGAAGCGUUUGACACCAGUGUUGUUUUCUCGAAAAUCAAUUAAAAAAGGCCGGAUUUUGUGUUGUAUUGACUUUAUCAGCUUUCUGCACUUUUUUCCUGUCUUUUUUAAUGCACUUUUCGUUUAACAAGUCAACAUCAAUUUCUUUUGUUGUAAAAGGGUCAUUGGAAGGUGGCUUUCUUUUCGGAGAAAGUGUUUAUAGCCUUUGGCCUCUGCAAUCGGAGAGAUUGAGGUCUGCAGCGUAGAUCCUUCGGGGUUAGAUGCAUUUGUGCUAAGCUAUAGCCUUUCAUAGACAACUUGUUGACUAUGAUCAGUCAUGUAGCUUACUCGCUUAUGCUAUUUUACCUACGCUUAGGAUGUUGAGUAGCGACAUACGCAC